AAAGGUAGAGGAGCAAGUAUUAUUAGUAACUGCGUAAAAGAUUGAAGCAUCUGUAGCGAAAGGAGUAUUUGCCGAAGUGGUGUAGUUAGCUUUAUGACUAUAUCUACUGGGGGUGUGUAUAAUAUGCACAUCACUGUCACAGUAUUUCUGUGUUGGGCUAUC
rnacentral:ncRNA from 1 species